rnacentral:tRNA from 1 species
GGAGAGGUCGCCUAGUCUGGCUUAGGGCGCUCGCCUGGAAAGCGGGUAAGGCUCAAAAGGCCUUCGUGGGUUCGAAUCCCACCCUCUCCGCCA